rnacentral:rRNA from 1 species
CCUACGGGAGGCAGCAGUGGGGAAUAUUGGACAAUGGGGGCAACCCUGAUCCAGCAAUGCCGCGUGAGUGAUGAAGGCCUUCGGGUUGUAAAGCUCUUUCGCCCGCGACGAUGAUGACGGUAGCGGGAGAAGAAGCCCCGGCUAACUUCGUGCCAGCAGCCGCGGUAAUACGAAGGGGGCGAGCGUUGUUCGGAAUCACUGGGCGUAAAGGGCGCGUAGGCGGCCCUGUUUGUCGCGUGUGAAAGCCCCGGGCUCAACCUGGGAGGUGCGCGCGAGACGGCGGGGCUGGAGUUCGGGAGAGGAGCGUGGAAUUCCCAGUGUAGAGGUGAAAUUCGUAGAUAUUGGGAAGAACACCGGUGGCGAAGGCGGCGCUCUGGACCGAGGCUGACGCUGAGGCGCGAAAGCGUGGGGAGCAAACAGGAUUAGAUACCCUGGUAGUCCACGCUGUAAACGAUGUGUGCUAGACGUUGGGAGGCCUAGCCUCUCGGUGUCGCAGCCAACGCGGUAAGCACACCGCCUGGGGAGUACGGCCGCAAGGUUAAAACUCAAAGGAAUUGACGG